rnacentral:rRNA from 1 species
UAAAGUAAGAAAGAGCGUAUGGCGGAUGCCUAGGCACAGAGAGGCGAAGAAGGACGCAGCAAACAGCGAAAUGCGACGGUUAGCAGUAAGCAUGCAACGAUCCGUCGAUGUCCGAAUGGGGGAACCCACCUGGAGUAGAGACCAGGUAUCCUGAAGUGAAUAAAUAGCUUCAGAGAGGCGAGACUCAGGGAACUGAAACAUCUAAGUACCUGAAGGAAGAGAAAAUAAACGAAUGAUUCCCUAAGUAGCGGCGAGCGAAAGGGGAAGAGCCCAAACCGAUCUUAGGAUCGGGGUUGUAGGACUGUCGGCAAAGAGCAAGAAAUCAUUAUAGGCGAACGGAAUGGGAAGUCCGGCGAAACAGGGUGACAGCCCCGUAGCCGAAAUAGUGAAGAAGCACGAGACAGCACCUGAGUACGGCGGGACACGAGGAAUCCUGUCGGAAUCCACCAGGACCAUCUGGUAAGGCUAAAUACUCCUCUGUGACCGAUAGUGAACCAGUACCGUGAGGGAAAGGUGAAAAGAACCCCGGGAGGGGAGUGAAAGAGAACCUGAAACCGUAUGCCUACAAGAAGUCAGAGCCCGUUAAGGGGUGAUGGCGUGCCUUUUGUAGAAUGAACCGGCGAGUUGCGACAGACUGCGAGGUUAAGGAGGAAAGACCGGAGCCGAAGCGAAAGCGAGUCUUAAGAGGGCGAAAGUAGGAUGUUGCAGACCCGAAACCGGGUGAUCUAGCCAUGAGCAGGUUGAAGUUGAGGUGAAACUCAAUGGAGGACCGAACCGACUACCGUUGAAAAGUUAGCGGAUGACUUGUGGCUAGGGGAGAAAUUCCAAUCGAACCCGGAGAUAGCUGGUUCUCCCCGAAAUAGCUUUAGGGCUAGCGUCGGAAAGAACCUUAGUGAAGGUAGAGCACUGAAUGUGUGAUGGCCCCAUCCCGGGGUACUGAAUACAAUCAAACUGCGAAUGUCAUUAAGGAUGUCCGGCAGUCAGACUGUGAGUGAUAAGGUCCAUGGUCAAGAGGGAAACAGCCCAGACCGCCAGUUAAGGUCCCAAAAUGUAUGCUAAGUGGAAAAGGAUGUGGGGAUGCACAGACAACUAGGAGGUUGGCUCAGAAGCAGCCAUCCUUCAAAGAGUGCGUAACAGCUCACUAGUCGAGUGACCCUGCGCCGAAAAUGUACCGGGGCUAAGCCUGAUACCGAAACUGCGGAUUGUAGGAAACUAUAGUGGUAGGGGAGCGUUGUAUACGAGCAGAAGCCGUACCGUGAGGAGCGGUGGAUUGUAUAGAAGUGAGAAUGCCGGUGUGAGUAGCGAGAUGUAGGUGAGAAUCCUACACACCGAAAGCCCAAGGAUUCCAGGGGAAGGUUCGUCCGCCCUGGGUAAGUCGGGACCUAACGCGAGGCCGAAAGGCGUAGUGGAUGGAAAGCAGGCGAAAGAUUCCUGCACCCGUAUAUGGAGCGAAGGAGUGACGGAGACGGAUAGUGUGACCCUCUUAAUGGAUUGAGGGCGAAGCGAAGCGGCUGGUUACCAGGCAAAUCCGGUAACCAAAAGGCUAGAGCGUGACAGGUAAGCGAAAUCUUAGGAAAGUAGCGAAGCACAUGAUGACGGCUUCCAGGAAAAGCUUCUGGCAAUGCAUAUGCGGCCCGUACCAAAACCGACACAGGUGGGCAGGGAGAGAAUCCCGAGGUGAGCGAGAGAACUGUUGCCAAGGAACUCGGCAAAAUGACUCCGUAAGUUAGCGAGAAGGAGUGCUUAAGCAAUUAAGCCGCAGUGAAGAGGCCCAAGCGACUGUUUAACUAAAACACAGCUCUCUGCGAAGUCGCAAGACGAAGUAUAGGGGGUGACACCUGCCCGGUGCUGGAAGGUUAAGAGGAUCUGUUAAGAGCGAUCUGAAGCAGUGAUCCGAAGCCCCAGUGAACGGCGGCCGUAACUAUAACGGUCCUAAGGUAGCGAAAUUCCUUGUCAGGUAAG